UACGUAGGGGGCUAGCGUUGUCCGGAAUCAUUGGGCGUAAAGCGCGUGUAGGCGGUUCGGUAAGUCCGCUGUGAAAGUCGGGGGCUCAACCCUCGAAUGCCGGUGGAUACUGUCGGACUAGAGUACGGAAGAGGCGAGUGGAAUUCCUGGUGUAGCGGUGAAAUGCGCAGAUAUCAGGAGGAACACCGGUGGCGAAGGCGGGUCUCUGGGCCGUAACUGACGCUGAGGAGCGAAAGCGUGGGGAGCGAACAGG
rnacentral:rRNA from 1 species